rnacentral:rRNA from 1 species
GGAAGAUUAAAUGAUGGGGUGCAAGCUCUUGAUUGAAGUCCCAGUAAACGGCGGCCGUAACGAUAACGGUCCUAAGGUAGCGAAAUUCCUUGUCGGGUAAGUUCCGACCUGCACGAAUGGCAUAAUGAUGGGGGCGCUGUCUCCAGCAGAGACUCAGUGAAAUCGAAUUCGCCGUGAAGAUGCGGUGUACCCGCGGCUAGACGGAAAGACCCCGUGAACCUUUACUGCAGCUUGACAUUGAACUUUGAUCUUACUUGUGUAGGAUAGGUGGGAGGCUUUGAAGCGUGGACGCCAGUUCGCGUGGAGCCAACCUUGAAAUACCACCCUGGCAACUUUGAGGUUCUAACUCAGGUCCGUUAUCCGGAUCGAGGACAGUGUAUGGUGGGUAGUUUGACUGGGGCGGUCUCCUCCUAAAGAGUAACGGAGGAGUACGAAGGUGCGCUCAGCGUGGUCGGAAAUCACGCGUAGAGUAUAAAGGCAAAAGCGCGCUUAACUGCGAGACCCACAAGUCGAGCAGGUACGAAAGUAGGUCUUAGUGAUCCGGUGGUUCUGUAUGGAAGGGCCAUCGCUCAACGGAUAAAAGGUACUCCGGGGAUAACAGGCUGAUUCC